UUUAGGAUUGUUUCUUUAGAUAAGAUUAAGGGUGUGGUUAUCUAUUAGGGAUCGGAGUGACAAUUUAGAUAAGUUUUUACAAAAGGAGUUAAGUUUUUUAAUAAGAGUUGGGAGACCUAAUGGGUUAUAUUUUUUAAAGAGAUAAUAGUUAUUGUUUGGUAGUUUCUUAGGGAGGUUAUUUACUUUGUCGAUAGGAGUAAAUUAGGUUGUUAAUCAAAAGUUAAAGUAAGUUUAGGAAAGUUUAUAAUUUCCUUUGGAAUAUGGCGUGCAUGGUUGAUGAUAGUAUAUUUAUAUUAUUAAAGAGAUAAAUACGUAUUAGUUUGUGUUGGGUUGAAACUAGGAG
rnacentral:lncRNA from 1 species